GUCGAAGUUCAUCAUGUAGGCCAGCUGAGGCUUGUAGUUCUCUGUGAUCUUGAGGAGAUCUUCAUGUCAGAAUCCAUUAAUGACUUUAGAAAACCUCAGAGUCAAAGCUG